UAAACUAGGAUUAGAUACCCUAUUAUUUUGAGCGUGAAGAACUUAUCCUAGGUAGUAAUAGUUUUCUUUAAACCUAAAGAAUUUGGCGGUGUUUUAUUCUGUUCAGAGGAAUUUGUCCCGUUAUCGAUAGUCCUCGUUUUAUCUUGCUUUAAUUUAUUUAGUAUGUAUACCGCCGUUAUAAGUUUAUUUUUUUAGAAUAUUUACUUUAAAAUGUAUUAAUUUUUAUUUCAGGUCAAGGUUCAGUUUAUAUUAAAGUGGUGAUGAAUUACAAUGAUUUUGAUCAUAUGGAUGUUUUAUUAAAUUUUUAUUGAAGGUGGAUUUGAUAGUAAUUUUAAUUAUAGAGUUAUUUUGAUUUUAGUUCUAAAAUGAGUACACAUCG
rnacentral:rRNA from 1 species